CACUUUCAAAAUUCAAUCCAUUUCUCUCUCAACUCUCUCUCUAACUCACUUUCUCUCUCUCAAAUCCAGACCAAACCACCGUAUCGUGUUCUUAAUUAUUCAGUUCAUAUGUGUUGAUUAUUAGUUUAUUACCGUAUCCAGACCAAACCACCGUAUCCAGACAAAACCACCGUUGGAUUCACCUAAGAAUUUAACAAGGAUUGGAUACAGUCCUGAACUAGGGAGAAAGAGAGAGAAACGAGAUCUACAGACGGUGAAAUAGAGAAAAAAACGCAAAUGAGAGAGAGGGAAGAGUAACCGCAGCAAGCAAUGGCCAGGCGAUGACAGCUAGCUCAGCCAAAAGAAACGAAAGAGCCGAACGAGUCAAAGCAGAGGACCAAAGAGCCACUAAACUUGGAUGUAACUCCUUACACCGAUAAGAUCAUCGCUGAAUACAUCUGGUUGACUUACUAAGAGGUCAGCUGCGAAGAGUAAGAGAAAGAUAUAGUAAACCCCUAAAUUCAACAUCGGAUGAAGAAGAUCUUCAUCUUGCAGAGACCAAUACUAACAUCAAUGACCAAGAAGCUGAAACAAAGGUGGAAGCUGUGUCGAAAGAGAAUCUUUCGGAAGGGUGUAAUCAAAAUGAAACGGUGUAUCGGUUGGAAACUUCAAAGAAUUCAUCUGAAAAAUUAGUUCAUCAGCAAAAGCAUAUCUGCAAAAUCAGUUUUUACUCGCUGCGAAAUCAGUCCGUUCACGGAAAGAUGGUGGUUGAGGGAGGUUCCGACAAACCGAGGUAUAUCGGGCGAGGUUGAUGAAUAAACAAUUCAAAAAUAUGAGAAAGAAGCCAAGGAUAAGAGUAGAGAGAGCUGGUAAGCCAUUUAACAUAAAUUUGAACACACUAAUAAAAGUUAGAUAACGAUCUAAAUUUUUACGUUCACUUUUACUUUCAAAUUUUUUGUUGUUUUCUUUUCUGAUGUUGGGGGAUAUGCGCUGGACUCACAUCACGGAUUUGUGAUUCAGUAUGGAUUUAACAGAAGGUACAUAAUCCUUUCGACUUUGCAGUGUGCUAUUGUAGGAUUUGAUAUUAGAUUCAAGUUUCACUCUGGAUAAAUUUAAGAUGUACUAAAACCAUAGGAUUUGAUGCUAAUAAUCUUCUUAAUAUUCAGAGUGACCGUUUGAAGAAAGUUUUAGAGCAUUUGAAUUCCUUGUCAUACCAGUUUUUGUUGAAUUAACGUUAACGGCUAAUCUUAGGUGAAACAAUGUUUCAAAUCACGGAUAGCGUUAAAACAGUGUUUUGAAACCACUUUUGAAACGACUGUUAGGUUAAAGAGUGUUUUGAAACCACUGUUAGGUUAAACAGUGUUUGAAACUACUGUUGGCUUAAACAGUGUUUUGAAACGAUUGUUAGGUUAAACAAUGUUUUGAAACCACUUUUGAAACGAUUGUUAGGUUAAAAAGUGUUUUGAAACCACUGUUAGGUUAAACAGUGUUUGAAACCACUGUUUGCUUAAACAGUGUUUUGAAACGACUGUUAGGUUAAACAGUGGUUUCAAAACACUGUUUUAAUGGGUAUAGAAGACAACUUCAUCAUACGACUCAAAUCUCGGUUUCUUUUUAGAUGCCAUUGCCACACUUCAGAACUGUAUUUGGUUUUGAAUUUAUCGACCUCAAAAGGUAACUUGGAUUUUUGAAUUAAUUUUCUUUGUUAUUGUUGGCAUAUAUCUUUGCACUUUGCGCUGCAUAUGGUGUCUUAUGUUCCCCUGAUUUAUAUGAUUUCACAGAACGACAGGCAAGGUUGAAGCAUAAAGCUUAGCCCAAGCCCACAACAGUCGAGGUAAAGACUGAGACCCGAGCUCGAUCAAACCAUAUAACAUGGUAAAGUUAGGCAAAGAUCUAGCUAAAGCCAAACAGUUGCAAGGAGGGACAUACUACACAAUAAUGGCUGAAACACGAGGGCAACGGAAGUGUUUGUUAAAGGACUUACACACAUGAGUCGGACGAUGAUGUUAUGUUGGUUAAACUACCCAUGUUUUACAGGGGUUUUAAUGAAAGCUCUUUUUAUGUAUACCAUUCAUACAUAAUCCAUUUUUAUGUAAACCUUAUAAAAUGUAAAAUCAUUCAUUG